UACGAAGGGUGCAAUCGUUGCUCGGAAUUAUUGGGCGUAAAGCGCACGUAGGCGGCUUUGCAAGUCGGAUGUGAAGUCCCUCGGCUUAACCAAGGAAGUGCAUCCGAAACUGCAGAGCUUGAGUACUUAAGAGGAUCGCGGAAUUCCCGGUGUGGAGGUGAAAUUCGUAGAUAUCGGGAGGAACACCAGUGGCGAAGGCGGCGAUCUGGGAAGAUACUGACGCUGAGGUGCGAAAGCGUGGGGAGCAAACAGG
rnacentral:rRNA from 1 species